ACGGGAAGUUAAAAGGGAGGGAUAAUAUAUAUAUAUAGUCUGGAAAGACUUUGUUUAAAUGAAAGGGGGUGGGUGGUAGUGGUGAAAUUGGCAGAUGCUACAACGUCAUGGCUGUAUCCUGUAUCACUGUGGCCCCACCAAAAAUAUCCAGGAGUCUAAUGGCUGGACUAUAGGGUUUAGUCUCAACUCAGUCUUCCAAUCGCCUAAACCCUGCUACCAAGUCCCUUAUUUGCAUAUUCCAGGGAAUACCCAGUAUUCUAGUUUAUGAAGACAGCAUCUAAUGACCUCCACAGACCCCAGCUUCCAUCCUUCUACUAGAAAAUUGUGAGUGCCUUUCCAUGUCGUUGAAUGGAGCUUUCUGAAUCUCCUUUGAUUCUGAGGUCUGCCCAAAUCAUGAAGAGUUCCUUGCUGCAGACAACUCUAUUAAGUUGUUUAUAUCACUGUCUUUGGGAUGCCAGAAUCGCAGGCAAUGCUGUCCCACUCAAGCUUAGGACAGAAUCACCUGUGUGUGACCUGGAUGGGGCGGAAGGAUUCAGAGAAUGUGGCAGGGUGGACAAGAGACCUUGGAAAACCAUGAAGCUUGGUGAGCAUGUGGGAAAAGCCAAACCAAGUACCAAACCCACAAAACCUCACUGCUUACCCAUUUUUAAUCUCAAUUGUCAAGGUCUU